GGACAUACAAAUGGCCCAUAGACAUAUAAAAAGAUGCUCAACAUCACUAAUCAUUACAGAAAUGGAAAUUAAAACUACAAUAAGGUAUCACCUUAUACCUGUCAGAAUGGCUAUCAUCAAUAAAUCAACAAGUGUUGGUGGGAAGUGGAGAAAAGGGAACACUUGUGCACUGUUGGUGGGAAUGCAGAUUGGUGUAGCCACUGUGGAAAGCAGUAUGGAGUUACUUCAAAAAAUUAAAAAUGAAACCGCCUUAUGACCCUUCAAUUCCACUUCUGAGAAUAUACCUGAAGAAACCUGAAACACUGAUUCAAAAGGAUAUAUGCCCAUCAGUAGAUGAGUGGAUAAAAAAGCUGUGGCACAUUAACACAAUGGAAUACUACUGAGCCUUAAGAAGGAAGGAAAUGAAGGAAAUCUUACCCUUUGCAACAGCAUGGAUGGACCUGGAAGGACAUUGUGACACAUGCUGCAACCUGAAGACAUGAUGCUCAGUGAAACAAGCCAGUCACAGAAAGACAAAUACUGUGUGAUCCCGCUCACAUGAGGUCUCUGGAGCUGUCAGCCAUAGAGACGGAGGCCUCUUAAGAGAACGAAAGGAUGCCAUGUUGGGGGAGUCGCCACUGUGUGCGCAGGCGCAGAGAGGUGUCCACACAGGCCAAGUGCUGCUUUCUCACACCUUUGAGGACAGCCGAGCAGCCCUGCCUGAUGCACAGCCACCCGUAGCUGAUGGAUGGAACCCGCAUGGCGACCCCACCCACCAGCAGUGCCACUGAGACCCUGCGCAGGGGCCAGCUGAGAAGUGCCAGACAGGACUUAAAUGGUGACCCGUUUUUAAUGUUCACAUUAAUAAAUGUUUUAA